UACGAAGGGGGCUAGCGUUGCUCGGAAUCACUGGGCAUAAAGGGUGCGUAGGCGGGUCUUUAAGUCAGGGGUGAAAUCCUGGAGCUCAACUCCAGAACUGCCUUUGAUACUGAGAAGCUUGAGUCCGGGAGAGGUGAGUGGAACUGCGAGUGUAGAGGUGAAAUUCGUAGAUAUUCGCAAGAACACCAGUGGCGAAGGCGGCUCACUGGCCCGGUACUGACGCUGAGGUGCGAAAGCGUGGGGAGCAAACAGG
rnacentral:rRNA from 1 species